rnacentral:rRNA from 1 species
AGCAGUCGCCGCGGUAAUACGAGGGGUGCAAGCGUUAAUCGGAUUUACUGGGCGUAAAGCGUGCGUAGGCGGUUUGUUAAGUCUGUUGUGAAAUCCCCAGGCUCAACCUGGGAAUGGCAGUGGAUACUGGCUCGCUAGAGUGUGUCAGAGGAUGGUGGAAUUCCCGGUGUAGCGGUGAAAUGCGUAGAUAUGCGGAGGAACACCGAUGGCGAAGGCAAUCCCCUGGGCCUGCACUGACGCUCAUGCACGAAAGCGUGGGGAGCAAACAGGAUUAGAUACCCCGGUAGUCCCUGUCUCUUAUAC